rnacentral:rRNA from 1 species
GCCUACGGGGGGCAGCAGUGGGGAAUAUUGGACAAUGGGGGGAACCCUGAUCCAGCGACGCCGCGUGAGUGAAGAAGUAUUUCGGUAUGUAAAGCUCUAUCAGCAGGGAAGAAAGAAAUGACGGUACCUGACUAAGAAGCCCCGGCUAACUACGUGCCAGCAGCCGCGGUAAUACGUAGGGGGCAAGCGUUAUCCGGAUUUAUUGGGUUUAAAGGGUGCGUAGGCGGUCCGGAAAGUCAGCGGUAAAAGCCCGGGGCUCAACCCCGGCGAGCCGUUGAAACUGUCGGACUAGAGACGGCGAGAAG